AGGAUAAUAGUUAAUUAUAACAUUUAAUUUGCAAUUAAAAAUUUUUGUUUUC
rnacentral:tRNA from 1 species